GAGAGUGAAAAAAAAAUAUAUAAGGAAAAUGAAAAAUCUCGUCCCAUUCAGCGAGGAGGAGGAGGAUAAGGAUGAAGAGGCAAAGUAAAUAUGUGUGGGAUUAUUACGAACUUCUCUGGUGCCUGAACAUGAGGGAGAGUGAAAAAAAAAUAUAUAAGGAAAAGGAAAAAUCUCGUCUCAUUCAGCGAGGAGGAGGAUGAAGAGGAUGAAGAGGCAAAGUAAAUAUGUGUGGGACUAUUACGAACUUCUCUGGUGCCUGAACGGGAGAGGAAGAACGAAGGAAAAGGGGAAAGAGAGCCACAAAAGGUCAUGGAAAUUAUGCGGAAGAGGAAAAAUCUUGUCCCAUUCAGCGAGGAGGAGGAGGAGGAGGAUGAAGAGGCAAAGUAAAUAUGUGUGGGAUUAUUACGAACUUCUCUGGUGCCUGAACGGGAGAGGAAGAACGAAGGAAAAGGGGAAAGAGAGCCACGAAAGGUCAUGGAAAUUAUACGGAAGAGGAAAAAUCUCGUCGAAAUCAAAACAUCCGGAAAAGAGAAGGCCGUUAAAAGAUCACAAGCAUUAAAAGAAAGCGGAAACGCAGACCCAAGAACAACAACAACAUCAACAACAACACACUUACGAAGCCACUGAUUGACGGGUUGAGCGCGUGACAUACCAACGCGCUCCACAAUCGUCCGUUCGAGGCACCAACACCUGCAUUUCCGAGAUCGUUAACUAGGGAGAUAGAACACUAAGACUAGACUAUCAACUACUGUACAUAACUGGAAGAACCUGAGUAUGUGUGAGGGAGUGUCCGAAGGGCCCGCCGCUUGCCAGUCUGUCGUUAGUUAAAGCUACGUUAAGGAGAGGCGGCCGAGGGGGGGCGUGUCGUGUGGUGAAGCUGUGUGUGUGUUCUGAUGCUUCUUGUGGGGGUGUGGGGGUGUCCGUGUGCGCUGGAACAGAAGGAGGUUGAUGUGUGUUAAGCUCCUGGUGGGGGAGAGCGGUGAGCGGACAGAACAACGGAUGUAAACUAACUCACUCCACCCCUCACGUCAUAUCACCCAGGCAUUCUAUCGUUUCCGAGGCAAUAUCUCUUUUAAGUGCUUUUUCCUGUUCCACCCUUACGUCAUAUCACCCAGGCAUUCUACAGUUUCCAAGGCAUAUCUUUUUCUUUUAUUGUUUUAUGCUCUUUCCUGUCGUACAAGUUAUUUUUCCUUUUAAUUUGUGUAAGGAUUGUGUAUUGAAAUGUCUGACAAUAACAAAAAAAAGGUUAUACGUAAGGCAGGCUUAGCGAGUGAAAUGUCUUGAGUAGAAAUGGGUUAUAUGGGUGAGUCUGUAUCUGUGUGUGUGUGUGUGUGUGUGUGUGUGUGUGUGUGUGUCGAGCACCCCCAGGCCCUCACACCCACAACACAUUAGAUUGUAACCCAGCACAGGAAGAUACCAUUAAGCGAAUCACACACACACACACACACACACACACACACACACACACAUACACACACACAUCUCUUUACACACACAUACACACACGCAUAUCUCUCUUUCCCUUCCAUUCCUCGCUGUGUUCCCCUUCCCUAUCCUUCCUUCCUCACACACAUACACACACACACACACACACACACACACACGCAUCUUUCUCCAUUUUUCCCCUUCCCUGCCUCCCAUCCCCAUCACACCCGUACACACACACGCCCCGCCCCGCCGCCCCGAGCCCCGUGUCAGGCGGCCCCAGUCCGAGUGUCCCCGAGGCUCCAGAUCCCCACAGCUGGCUGGUGGAGAGUCUUGUUCUGUUUAUAUUUUAUACUGUUUUUAAGCUUCUUUUGGAGACUUUGCUCUACACUUUGUUUUAAGGAUUGCGUAGGUAAGUUUGCCUUGAGGUGAUGCACACAGCAAGUCUCUGUAGACAUUGCCGAGGCGUGCCCCGCGUACUGACCGACUGACUAAUAACCUCCGUUUUCUACCCGUGGAUGCCCGUGUUUGUGUUUGGACCGUAGCCGGAAAUAUUACCUGUUUUACUUUAUACAGCGGCCGCCAGUGGAGCUUUACUAGAUAAAAAUAAAUACCUAUAUUUUGAAAUCAAAGAGUAUAAAAAUAUUACAAUAUAAUAGUGUUUAGAAAUACAAAAAAAUAGUUACUUUCUAGGAUUCUAAGUCAGUCAACUUGUUUCCGAGUGCCAACCAAACUCUUGUGGUACAAGCAACGAAUCCCGAAACUCUGCGGCACAGGCGGCGAACCCCCACCCUUGCGUCCCACCGCCGCCGCCAGUCUGGAGGACCGUUGGCGGCAGGUCUGGCGCCCCGUUCGCCCAGCCCAGCAGCGCCACGCCCCGGGCAGCCAGCGGCCCCGCCAGGCGCUGCCAGGGAAGGACGGGCAGAGGCGGGGGUGCUGGUGGCCACUGCCGCCCUCACUGGGUCAGACUUCCGCCGGGGGAAGCAGACCCGCCAGGGCAGAGCAGCAGCAGCACCCCAGGCCCCCACACCCCCGGGCCGGCGAGUGUUCUGCCCCGGGCCGCCGCGCCCCGACGCCAGACUCUGCAAGCUUAUUAGAAGACAUGUUUGCCUUAUAUAUAGUUCAUACAGUAUAAAAUGUGUACCAUGUUUUUAUAUGAAGUGUAUUGUUAGGGAGUUGAUUUGUCAGAUGUGUGCGUCUCUGCCACGACGAGGCACUACUUUUCUCACACCACUGUCUGGGUCGGUAGUUUUGUAUGAAAAUAAAGUUAUGCUACUUG